GACGAACGCUGGCGGCGUGCUUAACACAUGCAAGUCGAACGGAAAGGCCCUGCUUUUGUGGGGUGCUCGAGUGGCGAACGGGUGAGUAACACGUGAGUAACCUGCCCUUGUCUUUGGGAUAACUUCAGGAAACUGGGGCUCAUACCGGAUAGGAGCUCCUGCUGCAUGGUGGGGGUUGGAAAGUUUCGGCGGUUGGGGAUGGACGCGCGGCUUAUCAGCUUGUUGGUGGGGUAGUGGCUUACCAAGGCUUUGACGGGUAGCCGGCCUGGGAGGGUGACCGGCCACAUUGGGACUGAGAUAGGGCCCAGACUCCUACGGGAGGCAGCAGUGGGGAAUAUUGCACAAUGGGCGGAAGUCUGAGGCAGCAACGCCGCGUGCGGGAUGACGGCCUUCGGGUUAUAAACCGCUUUCGCAUGUGACGAAGCGUGAGUGACGGUAAUGAGUAAAGAAGCACCGGCUAACUACGUG
rnacentral:rRNA from 1 species